GUUUGUACGGAGAAGAUUUUCCUUUGAGGCCAAGUCUACCAAGUGUCACUGAUAUCCUGCUGACAUUAUGGAUCAUAGGAAUGGUGUGCCAGGAGUGUCACCAGCUCUACCAGUCAGGACUUAGAGAACACAUUAGUCUGUACAAUCUGAUGGACUUCAUGUUACUGUGUGCUUACAUUGCGACCCUAUCACUGCGGUACUGGACAAUGUACAAAUUCUACCAAGCUUUGGAUGUCCUGAAAAGUGGUUCCGAAUCGUGUUCAGAUAUUCGAAGCAUAUAUUGGCUUAAUACAG
rnacentral:sRNA from 1 species